rnacentral:lncRNA from 1 species
GAUGUGCCCCAGUAGAUCAUGGAACAAAAGCUGCAUGUACACUGAGUCUACAAAGGAGUCCAAUUCCAUGUAUCAAGAAUCGAACCCCCACAUUGCGACUGCCAGCAAGGCGUGAGAUAACCAUAUCUUAAAAUACUAGACCAAAUCUUACCAAUUAACCAUACCUCCCAACAAUCAAUUCAUUGCCAUACACAUGCCCA